ensembl:misc_RNA Metazoa_SRP Metazoan signal recognition particle RNA
GCUGGGCGUGGUGGUGCACACCUGUAAUCCCAGUUACUCAGGAGGCUGAGGCAGGAGAAUCGCUUGAACCCGGGAGGUGGAGGUUGCAGUGAGCCGAGAUUGCGCCACUGCACUCCAGCCUGGGUGACAGAGCGAGACUGUGUCUCAA